rnacentral:piRNA from 1 species
UUCAUACUCUGAGUUAGGGCUGAGACUUA